AGUUCUGCACUACAGACUGUUACUGCAGAGAAGGACCUACAGCUAUAGAUGUCACCCUAGGUCAUAAUUCAAGCUUGCUUAGCUUUCCUAUAGGAGACAUCACCAUCUGUAUCACUUCAUUAAUAUUGUGUGAAAUUGGACCUUAUUUCUGAAUUAACAUCUGAUUGUAGCUGUCAAGAGUGAUAUGACUGGUUGUGUUCAGCAUUACAGAUUUUUCAGGGUCAUCGAAUGUAUACCAAGACCUACAUGGCAACAUUCAGCAUAUGUCAUUCAAGUUCCAGGAUUUGGGCUACUUAAGAUUACCAUUUGCUACUACUAUGUAUUGGAAGAAGCUUACACAGUGCCAGCACACACUGAAGACACCUCAAGGUUUGAUCAAACCUUUUAUUAUCUGAAGAAUAUAAACAAAAUGAAGAGACAAGC